rnacentral:tRNA from 1 species
GAUAGAAUGGCUGAGUAAAGCAUUAGACUGUAAAUCUAAAGACAGAGGUGGUCCCCUCUUUCUAUCA